rnacentral:miRNA from 1 species
UCACCGGAGACAUUGUUCCGCA